GCCUUCGUGGUGCAAUGGUUAGCCCAUUCGUAGGGUAUUCGAGAGGUCCAGGUUCGAGUCCCGGCGUGGGCA
rfam:Stegodyphus mimosarum contig37544, whole genome shotgun sequence.